UACGGGGGGGGCAAGCGUUGUUCGGAAUUACUGGGCGUAAAGGGCUCGUAGGCGGCCAACUAAGUCGGAUGUGAAAUCCCCAGGCUUAACUUGGGAACUGCAUCCGAUACUGGAUGGCUUGAAUCCGGGAGAGGAGACUGGAAUUUACGGUGUAGCGGUGAAAUGCGUAGAUAUCGUAAGGAAGACCAGUGGCGAAGGCGGGUCUCUGGACAGUUCCUGACGCUGAGGCACGAAGGCCAGGGGAGCAAACGGG
rnacentral:rRNA from 1 species